rnacentral:lncRNA from 1 species
CUCGGGACUGGGACGCGGCGGCUCCUCCCCGCCCUCCGGCCGCGGCGACUCCAGCAGCGCGAGAGCCACGGCCUCGCCGGCAGGCUCUUUACUCUGUGGAUCCUCCAUGCCGGCUGUCACGCCAGAGGAGAGUUGCUGGAGCCGGACACUUGCUAACUCUCACUCUGCAGAGCCCGAAAGCCUCGCCUUUCUCCGUUGAAAAAUUACCGGGCUCGCGUUCCCGCGGCGGCGGCCACACAAACUCCAGCGGCCACCUCCCACUUCCGGGAGCGUGUGGCGUCCACACGCCGGGCAGGCGCAGUGAGCCGGCGUGCGCGGAACGCCAGCGCCGCAGUCCACAGGGGGAGGGAGGACGAACAAGAGGGAGGCGCGCCGGUGAGAAGACGGGGCGUGGCCGGCCGUAGGCGGAGCUAGCGCGGGUUGAAGUUGCGCAAGGAUCUAGUCCAGUCACUGGAGGGUAGCACCGGCACGUGUGUUCCCGUCAGUGUUUCCUGAGAAGGAAAAAAGUAGGGAGAUCUAACACAGGACAGAGGCAGAGAGAAUCCCCAAGAUGAUGGAGGAAGAUCGCAGCAUGACAGCUGUGCUCCAGGGGACAGUUGUGAGGAUCGGAGCAGCGCAAUUCAAGAGACAGGCACGUUGAAUGCUGUUACCACCAAGAUGUUGAAUGCUAUUGCAUACUCUAUUUAACAGGUG